AACGAACGCUGGCGGCAGGCUUAACACAUGCAAGUCGAUCGCCCCGCAAGGGGAGCGGCAGACGGGUGAGUAACGCGUGGGAACGUACCCUUUGCUACGGAAUAGCUCCGGGAAACUGGAAUUAAUACCGUAUGUGCCCUACGGGGGACAGAUUUAUCGGCAAAGGAUCGGCCCGCGUUGGAUUAGCUAGUUGGUGGGGUAAUGGCCUACCAAGGCGACGAUCCAUAGCUGGUCUGAGAGGAUGAUCAGCCACAUUGGGACUGAGACACGGCCCAAACUCCUACGGGAGGCAGCAGUGGGGAAUAUUGGACAAUGGGCGCAAGCCUGAUCCAGCCAUGCCGCGUGAGUGAUGAAGGCCUUAGGGUUGUAAAGCUCUUUCACCGGGGAAGAUAAUGACGGUAUCCGGAGAAGAAGCCCCGGCUAACUUCGUGCCAGCCGCCGCGGUAACAC
rnacentral:rRNA from 1 species